UGAAGGAUGGAGAACAAAGAGGAGACAUAUGUCCUAGUUUACGGUCAAAAUUGGGUAGGUUUCAAGUCAAAGCAUGGCAUCUCCAAGGCACUGCAUAAAACUUGCACACUUCAAACGAAUAUUCCAUCAAGAGAGGUGAUCGAGUGAAAUUCAUUAUUAAAUCCCAAAAGUCAGAUAAUCUGCCAUCCAAAGUUCCUUUGAGGGGUCCAUCUCAUGGUGAUCGAGGGGAAGUACAUUUGUCUUUGGACGACAAUGGUUCAUCUAAAUUUGGAGUACGUUUUGAUAAGGCAAUUCAAGGGGGUGUUGACCUCGGGGGUCUUUGUGAACAAGAUCACGGGUUUUUCUGUAGCGCAAGCGACCUUCUCUUAGAUCACACUAUUGAAGAAAACAUGGACAAGCUACUCCUAAAUGCACUUUUCGAGGUAGU